CUACAGGCUUAACACAUGCAAGUCGAGGGGCAGCAUGGUCUUAGCUUGCUAAGGCCGAUGGCGACCGGCGCACGGGUGAGUAACACGUAUCCAACCUGCCGUCUACUCUUGGACAGCCUUCUGAAAGGAAGAUUAAUACAAGAUGGCAUCAUGAGUCCGCAUGUUCACAUGAUUAAAGGUAUUCCGGUAGACGAUGGGGAUGCGUUCCAUUAGAUAGUAGGCGGGGUAACGGCCCACCUAGUCUUCGAUGGAUAGGGGUUCUGAGAGGAAGGUCCCCCACAUUGGAACUGAGACACGGUCCAAACUCCUACGGGAGGCAGCAGUGAGGAAUAUUGGUCAAUGGGCGAGAGCCUGAACCAGCCAAGUAGCGUGAAGGAUGACUGCCCUAUGGGUUGUAAACUUCUUUUAUAAAGGAAUAAAGUCGGGUAUGGAUACCCGUUUGCAUGUACUUUAUGAAUAAGGAUCGGCUAACUCCGUGCCAGCAGCCGCGGUAAUACGGAGGAUCCGAGCGUUAUCCGGAUUUAUUGGGUUUAAAGGGAGCGUAGAUGGAUGUUUAAGUCAGUUGUGAAAGUUUGCGGCUCAACCGUAAAAUUGCAGUUGAUACUGGAUAUCUUGAGUGCAGUUGAGGCAGGCGGAAUUCGUGGUGUAGCGGUGAAAUGCUUAGAUAUCACGAAGAACUCCGAUUGCGAAGGCAGCCUGCUAAGCUGCAACUGACAUUGAGGCUCGAAAGUGUGGGUAUCAAACAGGAUUAGAUACCCUGGUAGUCCACACGGUAAACGAUGAAUACUCGCUGUUUGCGAUAUACUGCAAGCGGCCAAGCGAAAGCGUUAAGUAUUCCACCUGGGGAGUACGCCGGCAACGGUGAAACUCAAAGGAAUUGACGGGGGCCCGCACAAGCGGAGGAACAUGUGGUUUAAUUCGAUGAUACGCGAGGAACCUUACCCGGGCUUAAAUUGCAGAUGAAUUACGGUGAAAGCCGUAAGCCGCAAGGCAUCUGUGAAGGUGCUGCAUGGUUGUCGUCAGCUCGUGCCGUGAGGUGUCGGCUUAAGUGCCAUAACGAGCGCAACCCUUGUUGUCAGUUACUAACAGGUUCCGCUGAGGACUCUGACAAGACUGCCAUCGUAAGAUGUGAGGAAGGUGGGGAUGACGUCAAAUCAGCACGGCCCUUACGUCCGGGGCUACACACGUGUUACAAUGGGGGGUACAGAGGGCCGCUACCACGCGAGUGGAUGCCAAUCCCCAAAACCUCUCUCAGUUCGGACUGGAGUCUGCAACCCGACUCCACGAAGCUGGAUUCGCUAGUAAUCGCGCAUCAGCCACGGCGCGGUGAAUACGUUCCCGGGCCUUGUACACACCGCCCGUCAAGCCAUGGGAGCCGGGGGUACCUGAAGUGCGUAACCGCGAGGAGCGCCCUAGGGUAAAACUGGUGACUGGGGCU
rnacentral:rRNA from 1 species